CACAAAAGAUAAUUGUUUUUAAACAGCUUGGUCCCAUUGAUCUGAAACAACGAAACAAUAAAACAUAGAAACCAAAAUAUAGCAAUCCACUAAUAUAAACCAAAACAUGAUAAAAUUUAUUCAACACGCAGAAACAAACAUAGUCAGAAUCUCACUUCAUUUUGAAACAAGUCAAUGAAACAAGUUAUAGCAAUACACUAACCAAAACAUGAUUAAGAGUUAUUCAACACAAAAUAAAACAUUGACAAAAUACCACUUUAUUUAGAAAGGAUUAUUAUUAUUUUUAGCAAUACCUUAUCCAAAACAUAAUUAAGAUUUAUUCAACACAAAAAAAAAAAUUGCUGUCUCACUUUAUUUUGAGACAAUGACAACAAUUAUACUUAUAAGAAAACACUUGCUUACAUAGUUAUUAAACACAAAACCAAUUAAGAUUGGGUGCGAACAUGUAGGGUGUGAAAGUGAAAGGGGUGAAAAUGAGUGGGCGCAAACGUGAAUGGAAGCAAACGGACUCAGAUUCAGACUAUGUACCAGUGAGAAAUAUACAAGCCUUUCUACGGUAUUUAUUUGUACAAUUCAGCUAGUCUUGACCUAUUCAUUUGUCUUAAAAAACCAGCCAGUUGUCACCUUCACUUCACACACACACACAUAUACGAAUAUCAAUUAUAUGCUUACGAUACAUGUUGCAUUGUUAAACUAAUUACGGUAUGUGAAAAUCAAGACUUGCAUAAAAACUAUCCCAAUAUUAGAGACAGUGGCGUCAUUUUUCUUCAGAGCUUUCAGCUCUUUGAUUAACAUGUUU
rnacentral:lncRNA from 1 species